rnacentral:rRNA from 1 species
GAUGAACGCUGGCGGCGUGCCUAAUACAUGCAAGUCGAGCGAACGGACGCUAAGCUUGCUUUUCUGAUGUUAGCGGCGGACGUGUGAGUAACACGUGGAUAACCUACCUAUAAGACUGGGAUAACUUCGGGAGACCGGAGCUAAUACCGGAUAAUAUUUUGAACCGCAUGGUUCAAAAGUGAAAGACGGUCUUGCUGUCACUUAUAGAUGGAUCUGCGCUGCAUUAGCUAGUUGUUAAGGUAACGGCUUACCAAGGCAACGAUGCAUAGCCGACCUGAGAGGGUGAUCGGCCACACUGGAACUGAGACGCGGUCCAGACUCCUACGGGAGGCAGCAGUAGGGAAUCUUCCGCAGUGGGCGAAAGCCUGACGGAGCAACGCCGCGUGAGUGAUGAAGGUCUUCGGAUCGUAAAACUCUGUUAUUAGGGAAGAACAUAUGUGUAAGUAACUGUGCACAUCUUGACGGUACCUAAUCAGAAAGCCACGGCUAACUACGUG